AGCAGUAGCCGCGGUAAUACAGAGGGUGCAAGCGUUAAUCGGAAUUACUGGGCGUAAAGCGCGCGUAGGUGGUUUGUUAAGAUGGAUGUGAAAGCCCCGGGCUCAACCUGGGAACUGCAUCCGAAACUGGCAAGCUAGAGUACGGUAGAGGGUGGUGGAAUUUCCUGUGUAGCGGUGAAAUGCGUAGAUAUAGGAAGGAACACCAGUGGCGAAGGCGACCACCUGGACUGAUACUGACACUGGGGUGCGAAAGCGUGGGGAGCAAACAGGAUUAGAUACCCCAGUAGUCCCUGUCUCUUAUAC
rnacentral:rRNA from 1 species